rnacentral:lncRNA from 1 species
CUUUGCAUGUAUUUCCAGACAAAGUCCAUUACACCUUGCUCCUGAUGCCAAAGUUUUCUAGUUCUGAAAGAGCAGUAAUUCACAAUGGAGCAAGUAUUCCUUCAAUUUCCUUUGCUUCAAAAUGGUACCGAGAAUCUGUUCUGAAUGAAGGCAGACAAAAAAUGCUCCAUGUUAAUGCACGCUCUGGGUUAGCUGUCUUUGUUAAAUUAGAAUGAGUGCUGCUCAUUUCCCAUCUGGUCCUCUGUGACAUUACUUCCAGAAUACAUUCACAGCUCCUAUUUGUGCAGUGCAAGUUGCUGGCUGUAGUACCAACUUUACCUUUUAUAGGCUGCUAAAACACGGGUGCCAGAUCGCAAAGUAACGCUCCACUUCUAGGAAGCAUCUGUGGACUUCUCCUGCUUCGACAGCUUUCUUUUUUCCCUCCUCUUAUUUUCUUUAAAUGUAACCAUCUAUGUGAAAUGAGUUUGUUGUCAAACCGAGCUGACGGUUUGACAGCCCCGGAGCCUUCGUCGCGUGGUGAGGAUGCAGCAGGCAGAGGAAGCGAUGCGCUAUCAGUCUGCCCCGAGGGCUGCAGGAGCAGAUAGGUCCCAUCUGCAGCUCUGCUCAGUGCCUUCGCUGCCUGCUGUGCUAUGCUGUGCAUCCUCCACCCCUGCCCUGCAAUGCGUCUCACUCCUACCUGGGUACAUGCGGGGUGCUGAGCUGAGUUGCCCAUGUGCAUUGACCGCACCGUGAAUUCUCACCAUAGCAACUGCCCGCCCCAACAGAACGUGGGGCUUAUUAAAGAGGCUCUUUGUGUACCUCUCAGGCUGUGAGAGCAGCACAGAACCUGCGAGCUGAACAAUGCUGCAGGUGUCUUCCCUUGUAAAACAUGUAAUUAUUGCCUUCUGUAAGUGAAAUGGAUAUGGGGAUUCUGCGUGGGGUGGCAGUGAAGAUGUGGGGUGGCACACUGCUAUUAGUGCUGUUACGAAUGGAAGAUCAGCAGGCACGCUCCUCAGUAGAUGCUCCUGAUAAACUGCAUUGCAUACCUUUACUUUGUUGGGCCACAGAGGUGACUUUGCGUACAAGUGCUGCAAAUGUUUUGUUCUUCUCCUUUGCUGCUGAACUACUGGGAAGUGAGGAUGGGUGGAAAUGGAGAUGGCGAUCGCCAGCGGCUUCUGCCAGGAGGCCAUGUGUGCAGCCAACAGAUGACUACAUGGGGAUCUAUAAAGCAAUAAAAAGCAGAGUCCAGAUAACAAGGCUUAGCGGGAAUAAAGAUAAGGCAGCAUCCACACCAUCGGUGCAUGCAUGGGCAAAGACGAGAGCAGGAAGAGCAGGAUGCCCUUCACAACCUCUGUGCACGAGAGCAAGAUAGACCCCAGGACAGAGUAAGAAAGAAGAGAUGCAACCCAUCAACCUCCUUCUGCAUCUCUCUCUGCACCCGUGGAUCUAUAGGGAGAGGCAUUCUGGUGCACACUUCCCUGAAGCUGAUGUGUGAAACAGUCUCUGCAGGAGAUAAUGGUGAGCAGCCCUCAAUGAAAGCAGGAGCUAAAUCUGAUUCACAGUAAUCGCUUGAAAUGUGUUACCCAGUCAUCUGCUGCCUUGCACAGCGUGCCAACACUGGUAUAAUGAACCGCUGAUCGUUCACUUAAUAGCUACACAGUGGCUGAAAAGAUGGGGACUCCUACAUCAUGUAAAUUUGCCUAGAUUUCAUACUCCCACUGGUGACCUCCAGUCCCUUUUACA